AAAAAAAAAAAACAGGAACCUUAGUUGUUAAAGAAAUCCAAACCCGCUAGAUGUAUCAGAGCGUUGAGAAAGCUUCUCCUAGAGUUAAGAGAAAAGAAAAGAAUGAUAUGAAAAAGAGUUUGAAAGAUUCAUGAGUGCAAAGGGUAGAGUUAAGUUGGGACAGGAGUUAGGAUUACCAUUAGAGCUUCAUUGUUAUACUCUGGGUAGAUGGGAUCUUAUCUCUGUAUGCAUAACUUGGGACUUACCUUUAGCAUUCUACUAAAGCUCAAUCAUUCUUGAGGGAUCCCCUGUUACUUAAGCCUAUUCUGUAGGGGACCAUCUUUGUCUCUUGACCUUCACCUUAGCCAAAUGAGUUCAUUGAUGAUGCAUUGCUUGAUUCACGUUCCAGAACUAAUGAAUGUUAAAGGGAUUGGUAGAUUUGAAAACAUGUGUAGGUCGAGUAUAAGAGACGGAUUUAUUGAUAACAAGGCAUGCCUAACGUUUUUGAGUGGAAUUCAAUCAUAUCGCAUCUUAGAACUACCAACUUGGACAUUGAUUUUAUUUGCUCUAUCAUAUGCUUUGGUUCUGAGUCCCCGCCUUCACUCCUCUCCUUCAACUAUGUCUUCUUAUUUGCUUGAGGGCAAGCAAAGACUAAGUUUGGGGGAGUUGAUAUGUCUAUAAUUUGCAUGUUUUCAGUGUCUAUUCAUCAUCACUUUGAGUCUAGUUUCGUAUCAUUCAUCACUGUUUUAUAUCAUUUCUCAUCAUUCUUGCACACUUUCCAUGAUUAGGAUAGCUUUGCAUACAUAUUGCAUUUCUGAGUUGUUUUCAGGUGAUUUGCAGCUGUUUGCGAGCAAAUUGGAAGAAACGAGCCAGAACCAGAAGACAUACUCGACCCCCAGGCCGAGUGACUUUGGAGCCAUUCUUCCCACAUACUCGACCCCUAGGUCGAGUGACUUUGGAGCCAUUCUUCCCGUCCACUCGACCACCAGGUCGAGUAACCUCAGCUCAGGCCACUCGACGACAUUACUCGACCCCCUGGUCGAGUACCGCUUCGCCACACCACCUGACCACACUCGACCAUUCACUCUACCACGUUACUCGACCCCCUGGUCGAGUAUCAUCACUCACCACCAUCACCAUCACUCGACCGGACACUCGAUCACGUCUUCACAGUCUACUCAAAUCCGCACUCAACCAGACAAGCUGAGCACAAGGAAGAAAAGAGGAGAAGACAAAGUGUUUGGAAGCGGCCUGGACCUCCAUCGGAUCACGAAGCCCAUCUCGGCCCAUUAUCACUCUAUGGGCCGGGCGAUUAGGUUAUUGGCCCGUCUACUAUCAUUUUAUUUCGUUUGGUAUAAAUAGAUGUUUUAGGGUUCUGUCCUGAGACAUCUAGUCGACAUUGCGUUUUUGCUUCAGUUUUAUUUUCAGUUUUACUCUGCUACGCCGCUUUUGCUUCUGCAACCUGUAGUUCGCGAUUUUUCCAAGUUAUUGAGAUUCCGCGUUUGAUUUCAUUAGUCAUCUUGUUUCUCUACUCUUUAUCUCUUUACUUAUGCAAUAUUAUCGUUCACCUGCGUUUAUGUCUUUGAGCAUGCUGUCUGAGUAGUGACUUAGAAUUCUUAGGGAUGGGAUAGAGUAGUUGUGGAAUCCAUAGUCUGUAGAAUGGUUAAGUUUUAGAAUUGAUUGAAUCCCUUUAGGACUAGUUGCGUUUACUGCUUAUUUCUUUCUGAUCAACUGGAAUUCGAUCCCAAGCAUUCCCGCACCCAGAAGGUGUUCGAUGGAAUGCUUGAUCCACUAGUUCCUGAGAUAUGCGUCUCUAUCCCAAGGGAUUGGCCGUUUAGAGCGUUUAUUGACUUUAUCAGUCUGUUCGUAUUGCCUGCAUAGUUAGAUUCUGUUAAUGGGAAUUAGUCUGGGCUAGCUUUGCUA
rnacentral:sRNA from 1 species